GCUUGUCUCAAAGAUUAAGCCAUGCAUGUCUAAGUAUAAACAAAUCUAUACGUGAAACUGCGAAUGGCUCAUUAUAUCAGUUAUAGUUUAUUUGAUGGUUCUUGCUACUUGGAUAACCGUAGUAAUUCUAGAGCUAAUACGUGCGUAAAUCCCGACUCCUGGAAGGGACGUAUUUAUUAGAUUUAAGGCCAACCGAGCUUGCUCGUCUCUUGGUGAAUCAUGAUAACUUCACGAAUCGCAUGGCCUCGCGCCGGCGAUAUUUCAUUCAAAUUUCUGCCCUAUCAAUUGGCGAUGGUAGGAUAGAGGCCUACCAUGGUGUUAACGGGUGACGGGGGAUUAGGGUUCGAUUCCGGAGAGGCAGCCUGAGAAACGGCUACCACAUCCAAGGAAGGCAGCAGG
rnacentral:rRNA from 1 species